GACGAACGCUGGCGGCGUGCUUAACACAUGCAAGUCGAACGGACAGGCCCUGCUCUUGUGGGGUGCUUGAGUGGCGCACGGGUGAGUAACACGUGAGUAACCUGCACUUGUCUUUGGGAUAAAUUCUGGAAACUGGGGCUAUUAUCGGAUAGGAGCUCCUGCUGCAUGUUGGGGGUAGGUAAAUUGCGGCGGUUGGGGAUGGACUCGCUGCUUAUCAGCUUGUUGGUGGGGUAGUGGAGUACCAAGGCUUUGACGGGUAGCCGGCCUGAGAGGGUGACCGGCCACAUUGGGACUGAGAUACGGCCCAGACUCCAACGGGAGGCAGCAGUGGGGAAUAUUGCACAAUGGGCGGAAGCCUGAGGCAGCAACGCCGCGUUCGGGAUGACGGCCUUCGGGUUGUAAACCGCUUUCGCCUGAGACGAAGCGAGAGUGACGGUAAUGGGUAAAGAAGCACCGGCUAACUACGUG
rnacentral:rRNA from 1 species